AUACAUUUUAUAACGCAGCGUUUAACAUUCCUGCCUGCCCGACCGUCCGGAACGGUCUGUUUUCAUCUCGGACGGUCAAAUUUCAAAAGUAGCCUGUCCGGUGGUCUGUUAGAUAUUUCUCUGAUCUUGAUUGUGAGGCAGACAAUGCAACAGAUUUCUAGUUUGUAAACCAGGCCAUGUACCUUAACCUUAACGUUACAAUACAUGCAGUAAAGUAUUCAGAAACUUGAUUUUAUUUUGGCAUGUUUGUAUCCGGACUGACAAUUUUUUAAAGCUACCAGUCCAGCUGUCUGGCUUGG